rnacentral:rRNA from 1 species
GAUGAACGCUGGCGGCGUGCCUAAUACAUGCAAGUCGAGCGAACGGACGAGAAGCUUGCUUCUCUGAUGUUAGCGGCGGACGGGUGAGUAACACGUGGAUAACCUACCUAUAAGACUGGGAUAACUUCGGGAAACCGGAGCUAAUACCGGAUAAUAUUUUGAACCGCAUGGUUCAAAAGUGAAAGACGGUCUUGCUGUCACUUAUAGAUGGAUCCGCGCUGCAUUAGCUAGUUGGUAAGGUAACGGCUUACCAAGGCAACGAUGCAUAGCCGACCUGAGAGGGUGAUCGGCCACACUGGAACUGAGACACGGUCCAGACUCCUACGGGAGGCAGCAGUAGGGAAUCUUCCGCAAUGGGCGAAAGCCUGACGGAGCAACGCCGCGUGAGUGAUGAAGGUCUUCGGAUCGUAAAACUCUGUUAUUAGGGAAGAACAUAUGUGUAAGUAACUGUGCACAUCUUGACGGUACCUAAUCUGAAAGCCACGGCUAACUACGUG